rnacentral:rRNA from 1 species
GGAAAGAUGAAAAGAACUUUGAAAAGAGAGUUAAACAGUACGUGAAAUUGUUGAAAGGGAAACGAUUGAAGUCAGUCGUGCUGGCGCGAAAUCAACCCUCUCAUCGGGAGAUCACAUGUUGUGGCGAGCCUCAAAACCGCCACAGCGUGUGAUCUCACGAUGAGGGGGAGCACUUUUGUGUCCGCUGGUUAACAUCAAUUUCGAACGUCAUAAAAAGGCUGGAGGGAUGUGGCUCCUUCGGGAGUGUUAUAACCUUUAGCGGAAUGUGGUGGUCGGGAUUGAGGAUUGCAACGAAUACCCUCGGGGCUGUUCCACCUGGCCUCUCAUUGGCAUCCUGGUGACGACAGCUUGCUGACGUCGUCAGGAUCCGCCUCUGAACAGGCUAGAGUGUGAGCAAAUUCGUUAAGGAUGUUAACGUAAUGGCUUUAAACGACCGUCUUGAAACACGGACCA